GGUGAGGUGGCCGAGUUGGUUAUGGCGCCAGGUUAAGGUCUCAAUCUUAGCAAUUGCAACAGCGCGAUCUACAAUAGUGGAUCCCUUGUUUCCUGGUGGAGCAAUCCGCGCGAGUUCGAGUCUCGUCCUCAUCA